CAGUUCUGGAUCUUUGUUGCCUGCAUACAAGUUACAACUGGAGAUUGUAGAUGACCUAGAUAGAGCAUCAGGGGCCACAUUGAGUUUCCCUUUCCUGUACUCGAUGACAAAAUCAAAUUUUUGUAAUCGCAGGACCCAACAGAUGAGACGGCUGGUGGUUUUGGUGGAAUUCAUGACCCAUUGGAGUGCAGAAUGGUCUUUACGUUGUGCCAGGAUGGCUCCCAAACCAGUAUCACUGGCAUCCGUGUAUACAAUGAAGGGAAGCUGAAAGUCUGGAUGACCAAGGAUAGGAGGUGUGUGAGUUUAGGGGUUCGGCUAUUCUUGAGAAAUUUGGGACGAAACGAUGGUACCACCCCGCCAAUCCAAGAAACCUCUGAACAUCCUUCACAUUCUUAGGCACAGGGACUAUCUCCAUCAGUCUCUGGAACGUUGCUGGAGCAUUCUUAAGACCAAAUGGCAUAACGUUAAAUUCAUAGAUACCUGCAGAAGAGAUGAAAGCAGUUUUGGCCUUACUGUCAGGGUCCAUUGCCACCUGCCAGUAUCCACUGUUUAGGUGAAUGGUGGAGAAAAUUGCUGCUCCUGAGAGUGAUUCCAAGAUUUCUGUGAUAUUGG